GCCCGCUCAAGAACUCAAAGGAAUUGACGGGGCCCGCACAAGCGGAGAGCAUGUGGUUUAAUUCGAUGAUACGCGAGGAACCUUACCUGGGCUCGAACGUAAGAUGACUGUAGGUGAAAGCUUACAUCUCUUCGGAGCAUUUUACGAGGUGCUGCAUGGUUGUCGUCAGCUCGUGCCGUGAGGUGUCGGGUUAAGUCCCAUAACGAGCGCAACCCCUACCUUUAGUUGCCAUCAGGUAAUGCUGGGGACUCUAAAGGAACUGCCUACGCAAGUAGUGAGGAAGGCGGGGAUGACGUCAAAUCAGCACGGCCCUUACGUCCAGGGCUACACACGUGCUACAAUGGCCGAUACAGAGGGCAGCUACCUGGUGACAGGAUGCAAAUCUCCAAAGUCGGUCUCAGUUCGGAUCGGAGUCUGCAACCCGACUCCGUGAAGUUGGAUUCGCUAGUAAUCGCGCAUCAGCCAUGGCGCGGUGAAUACGUUCCCGGGCCUU
rnacentral:rRNA from 1 species